rnacentral:sRNA from 1 species
UGCAUCUGAAGUCUGACGAGGAUGAGAACCUCCGGGGCAAGAGGUUCGACCCGAGCGAAGCGAGAGAACGUUGCGUCAGCAACGGCCCGCAGGGCGAGCCAUCCUCUAUCACCGGCAG